GCAGAACUUAAGAUGGCAGUCCCCCUGAGAGCCUGAAGGUCAUACCAAGAUCGCAGAACCUAAGAUGGUGGCCCCCUGAUGAAUCUGAAGGUCAUAUCAAAAUGGCGGGACCUAAGAUGGUGUGCCACUUCAGAAAGAUGACGAUGGGCAAAGAACAGCAUCUGGCUAAGAUAAAUGAAUUCUUCUCACUUGAGAGUUCAUAAGAGUGAAGCACAG